rnacentral:rRNA from 1 species
CCGGUUGAUCCCGCCGGAGGCCAUUGCUAUCGGGGUCCGAUUUAGCCAUGCUAGUCGCACGAGUUCAUACUCGUGGCAUAUAGCUCAGUAACACGUGGCCAAACUACCCUAUGGACCAGAAUAACCUCGGGAAACUGAGGCUAAUUCUGGAUAUCGCCUGCAUCCUGGAGUGGAGCAGGCGUGAAAUGCUCCGGCGCCAUAGGAUGUGGCUGCGGCCGAUUAGGUAGACGGUGGGGUAACGGCCCACCGUGCCCAUAAUCGGUACGGGUGAUGAGAGUCAGAACCCGGAGACGGUAUCUGAGACAAGAUACCGGGCCCUACGGGGCGCAGCAGGCGCGAAACCUUUACACUGCACGAGAGUGCGGUAGGGGGACCCCGAGUGCGAGGGCAUACAGUCCUCGCUUUUCACCACUGUAAGGUGGUGGUGGAAUAAGUGCUGGGCAAGACCGGUGCCAGCCGCCGCGGUAAUACCGGCAGCACGAGUGAUGGCCGAUCUUAUUGGGCCUAAAGCGUCCGUAGCCGGCCAGACAGGUCCAUCGGGAAAUCUGCACGCCCAACGUGCAGGCGUCCGGUGGAAACCAGUUGGCUUGGGGCCGGAAGAUCCAGGGGGUACGUCCGGGGUAGGAGUGAAAUCCCGUAAUCCCGGACGGACCACCGGUGGCGAAAGCGCCCUGGAAGGACGGACCCGACGGUGAGGGACGAAAGCUAGGGUCACGAACCGGAUUAGAUACCCGGGUAGUCCUAGCUGUAA